rnacentral:tRNA from 1 species
UAAGAAUUAGUUAAAAAAUAAUAUAAACUUGUCAUGUUUAAGUUGAAUAUUCAUUCUUAA